rnacentral:lncRNA from 1 species
AAAAGGUAAAUACAUACCUUUUCAUUCAGAAAGCUGUUCCCUGAAAGAGUUGGGAGGCUUUGAAUUCCCUUCAUCACUGGGAGGAGAGCAGGAGCCAUACACUGUGUGUGAGGGGUGUGGGGACCAUUCCUACUGUCUCCCUCCCUCUGUUCUCCCCUAAAUGAUCCUGAGCCAGGAAGAGUGAUGCAGAAUGUCUCUCACCCUGUGGAAGAGUUGGUCAGGCUGGUCCUCAGACAACCAGGGAAGCUCUUGGGGUCCUGGAGAAUAGGCACAUAGCAGAUAAAAGGAGUUCUUAACCAAACUUCCCUAGAACGGAGGGAGCUAACAAGAAAGAACUUUGGAAAUCUACCCUCCUCUUUCCCUGUCACUGCCAGGAAUGUCACCAUGAGAGCAGUUUCAGUUAAUGAGCAAACUCCUCAGACAAGGCAGGAAGGCAGCUCUUGGGCCUCACUGUCAAGCACAGGAAGCGACUGGAUUCCACUUGCCCGGUGUAGGGAUGACAGCAGGUAUUGAGUGGGACUGCAGGCCUGACAUCCUUAGCUCCUCCACACCCAGGACAGCCCGGCUGUCAGCACAGGGCAGCAGAAAGGACAGGGGACAAGCUCCAGGUGUGGGCGAGUCCCAGAGCAGCCCGGGGAGAGUGUCACUGUGUGGGUGCUGGCGUGGGGGCAGGAGCACACCACAUGCAGUUGCACGGGGGACUGAAUCUGAGGCUUUGGGGGAAGCAUCCAAGCCCCAGGGUGUGUGUGAGGGGGUCCCCCACAUGAGCAAUUCCUCAGGCCCAGCAAUGGCUGAUUCCCUCUGCUCGAGGAGAAAUCUCAUGUGAGGAAGGUGGAGUCAGGUCAGCUCCUCUCCAAUUACCCAGAAUGGGUGAGAGUUGAAGAUCUAGAAACAGAUUGCUGAGGCAGGAGAACAAAUGGUGACCCCUGCGCCUGCCCACGUUCCUGGAGGAAAACAGGAGCCAGUAGAGAGUGAGCUGACUCGGUGUGACUCCCUUAACAUUGACACAAAAGAGAAACUAUCAUAGGUCAUGGGUACCAGCAUCCCCAGUUCUCAUCAGGAAGCAGUACCCCAGGGCACAUGUCCCACAGACUGCUGAAAGAGAUCUUGCUCAGAGGCUUCACAAGAAGAUGAAGGGACCCAGGAGGAGAUUGUGGGUCCAUGGGAACUGUCAGGCCCCAGAGAACCUCCUAGCCCAUGCUGGAAGAGAAGGCCAUUCCAUCUGGGAAUCACAUGGCACUGGGUGGAGAGAGAACCGACUGGGCCUGACGCCUUGCAGAACCAGCAUCCAGCCUGUGUCCAAAGUGCUCCUGGAACCACAGAAUGUUUCAUGCCUCCAACCCUGCCCCCUCUGUCUGUCUGUCUGUUUGUCCAUCUGUCCAUCUGUCUCUCUCUCUCUCUCUCUCUCUCUCUCUCUCUCUCUCUCUGUGUGUGUGUGUGUGUGUGUGUUACAUACAUGUAUAACAUUCAACACUCACACUCAUGCUCUGGCCCAUGACUUUAUCCAUGUGCUCAGCAUCCUCCCAUCCAGAAAUCUCCAAGGCUCCCAACUGCACAGGCGACCAGCCUGAGUUCUCUGCCGGUCACUCCCAGGCUCCACCCAGCCCUUCCCCAGCCCCUUCACACAGCCCAGCUCAGCCAGGCAGGUCUCCCCUAGGGCACUAUUUUCGAGCACACUUUCUCUGCAGAUGUUCAGUCAUUUGCACCUGGGGCUGCUCUGCAUUUGUGCAUCAGCCUCAGUAGGGGUGUCUGAAUUGGGUGAGAGGGUGUGUCGGAGAAGAAUCCUGACUUGCAUUGGUUUGAGCAGAUAACGAAUAAAAAGUGUUCUCGCCGUGGAAAAAUCCAGACGGGUGUUGGCCCAGGCACAGCUCUAGGUCAAAAUUUUAAGAACCCCCACUCAUCUCUCUUGGCUGCCUUCACCUUCCUUAACCUCUGGACUAGCACCCAUCAAGAACCCCUCUAGGAGCCGGGUGGUGGUGGCACAUGCCUUUGAUCCCAGCACUUGGGAGGCAGAGGCAGGUGGAUUUCUGAGUUCGAGGCCAGCCUGGUCUACAGAGUGAGUUCUAGGACAGCCAGGGCUACACACAGAGAAACC